rnacentral:rRNA from 1 species
GACGAACGCUGGCGGCGUGCCUAAUACAUGCAAGUCGAACGCUGAAGGAGGAGCUUGCUCUUCUGGAUGAGUUGCGAACGGGUGAGUAACGCGUAGGUAACCUGCCUGGUAGCGGGGGAUAACUUUUGGAAACGAUAGCUAAUACCGCAUCAGAGUAGAUGUUGCAUGACAUUUGCUUAAAAGGUGCAAUUGCAUCACUACCAGAUGGACCUGCGUUGUAUUCGCUAGUUGGUGGGGUAAGGGCUCACCAAGGCGACGAUACAUAUCCGGCCUGGGAGGGUGGACGGCCACACUGGGACUGGGACACGGCCCAGACUCCUACGGGGAGCAGCAGUAGGGAAUCUUCGGCAAUGGACGGAAAUCUGACCGAGCAACGCCGCGGGAGGGAAGAAGGUUUUCGGAGCGUAAAGCUCUGUUGUAAGAGAAGAACGAGUGUGAGAGUGGAAAGUUCACACUGUGACGGUAUCUUACCAGAAAGCGACGGCUAACUACGUG